UACAGAGGGUGCAAGCGUUGCUCGGAAUCAUUGGGCGUAAAGGGCAGGUAGGUGGUCUUAUUUGUCUGGGGUGAAAUCCCUGAGCUUAACUCAGGAAGUGCCUCAGAAACGGUAAGACUUGAGUGCUGGAGAGGGUCGUGGAAUUCCCGGUGUAGCGGUGAAAUGCGUAGAGAUCGGGAGGAACACCAGCGGCGAAGGCGGCGACCUGGACAGUGACUGACACUCAAAUGCGAAAGCGCGGGGAGCAAACAGG
rnacentral:rRNA from 1 species